GAUGAACGCUGGCGGCGUGCCUAAUACAUGCAAGUCGAGCGAACGGACGAGAAGCUUGCUUCUCUGAUGUUAGCGGCGGACGGGUGAGUAACACGUGGAUAACCUACCUAUAAGACUGGGAUAACUUCGGGAAACCGUAGCUAAUACCGGAUAAUAUUUUGAACCGCAUGGUUCAAAAGUGAAAGACGGUCUUGCUGUCACUUAUAGAUGGAUCCGCGCUGCAUUAGCUAGUUGGUAAGGUAACGGCUUACCAAGGCAACGAUGCAUAGCCGACCUGAGAGGGUGAUCGGCCACACUGGAACUGAGACACGGUCCAGACUCCUACGGGAGGCAGCAGUAGGGAAUCUUCCGCAAUGGGCGAAAGCCUGACGGAGCAACGCCGCGUGAGUGAUGAAGGUCUUCGGAUCGUAAAACUCUGUUAUUAGGGAAGAACAUAUAUGUAAGUAACUGCGCACAUCUUGACGGUACCUAAUCAGAAAGCCACGGCUAACUACGUG
rnacentral:rRNA from 1 species